UUCCCUCAACCUCACUUUGCAAUUUCUCUCAAUAUUUUGAAGAAAACUUGUUGCAAAUUAAAGUUUUCUAUUUUUCUUAUUUUAGAUAUUGUAGAAGAAAUUUUUUUGGUUUAUUAUUAUGUUCCUUUUUUUUCCAAGAUUUUUAAGCCUUUCUCAAAAUAAGAUUUAUAUUUCAUUUUAUUCUCCAAAUAAGGAUUCUUCUCGCAAGAGUCUUCCCCUCCCUUUCAUGGUCAUCUUGAAGAAGUUCAUAGCUUUAAAAAAUACAUUUAUUUUAUUCUCCAAUUCUUAGAAUUCACAUAAAUUUCUCAACUUUGAUAGAAAAUAUGCAUUGAGUGGGUGAUUUCAUGAACAAAUUAGGAAUGCACUAAAUUGUGCUAUUAUAUUCCUUUUCAUCCCU
rnacentral:lncRNA from 1 species